rnacentral:rRNA from 1 species
GCAAGUCGAGCGAUGAAACUUCUUCGGAAGUGGAUUAGCGGCGGACGGGUGAGUAACACGUGGGCAACCUGCCCUAUAGAGGGGAAUAGCCUUCCGAAAGGGAGAUUAAUACCCCAUAAGAUUGUAGCUUCACAUGGAGCAGCAAUUAAAGGAGCAAUCCGCUAUAGGAUGGGCCCGCGGCGCAUUAGCUAGUUGGUGAGGUAACGGCUCACCAAGGCGACGAUGCGUAGCCGACCUGAGAGGGUGAUCGGCCACAUUGGGACUGAGACACGGCCCAGACUCCUACGGGAGGCAGCAGUGGGGAAUAUUGCACAAUGGGGGAAACCCUGAUGCAGCAACGCCGCGUGAGUGAUGAAAGCCUUCGGGUUGUAAAGCUCUGUCUUUGGGGACGAUAAUGACGGUACCCAAGGAGGAAGCCACGGCUAACUACGUGCCAGCAGCCGCGGUAAUACGUAGGUGGCAAGCGUUGUCCGGAUUUACUGGGCGUAAAGGGAGCGUAGGCGGACUUUUAAGUGGGAUGUGAAAUACUCGGGCUCAACCUGAGUGCUGCAUUCCAAACUGGAAGUCUAGAGUGCAGGAGGGGAAAGUGGAAUUCCUAGUGUAGCGGUGAA